ensembl:lincRNA C430039J16Rik RIKEN cDNA C430039J16 gene
CAAAUGAGAUUGCACCUGCACUCUGAGGAAGCUAAAGGGAGUUUACAGGAUGAUUAGCUCAUGGUCUAGUUGGGACUUCGGGUCCUUGUGAGGAAGUCCUUGGCCUGGACAGAAGAGGGCAUCGGAACCCCCUGGACUGGAGUUGCAGAUGGUUGUGAGCCACCACAUGGGUGCUCGGAGAUGAGCCCAGGUCAUCUUGAAGAGCAGUCAUUGCAUUUAACUGCUGAGUCAUUUUUUGAGUCCUGGGUGUUUAGAGACAGGCAAGGGCACAGAUGAAGACAAUUCCUAAAGGCCUUCUGAGUUUCCUGGAUUGCCACAUGUUCCUUUGUAUUCAUGUGUGCCUCAUGACUUUCAUCAAACGAUGGGAACAGGGGACAGAAAAUGGAGAGAUGAGGCUGGGCUUAGAUUGCGAAUGAUGGAGGCCACGUGGCAUCUCCAGAAGCAAGCAGAAUUGUUCCUUUAAUUGGGACAACUAAAGGGCUGCAGGCUCUGCACAGGGGCUGGAGACUGUGCACUCAGGUACAGGAGGCUUGGAGAGAUUUACAGGACUUUAAAGGAGACUUUGCUAAUGGAAGAUACCAUCUACCCAUCAGUUCCUGACAGUCUCAAAGUGGAAGGUAUCACUCAAAGACAUGCGUUGAUCCUUUUAUUGGAAGCGUUCCAGAACUUAACAGUCCACUGGUGUUAUCAUCAGUUUUCCUGUCCUGAGUUUCUCAGUCCACCUGAGCAUUUUAGGUUAUUAACCCUUCGGUGAGGACUGCAAAGCCACAGUUCUGAGAAUGGCCUUGCUGGAGGAUAGCAACGCCAGAAUAGAGUCCUGGCUCCUGGCUUCCUGCUAUCACCAGCCCUUGUCUGGAAGGUGCACACAGACAGGUACCUGGGUACCCCCCACACCCCACCACAGUUUCUUUCCAAGUCCUUUCAAAAGCUUCCAGAUUAGCAACACAAUGGUAUUCUACUUCCUGCCCUAUACAAGCUCGGCCUUUUCUCUCUUGUAAGCUUCCAUCUACCUAUAAUAAAGUUCAGUCUAAAAC